GACGAACGCUGGCGGCGUGCCUAAUACAUGCAAGUAGGACGCACAGUUUAUACCGUAGCUUGCUACACCAUAGACUGUGAGUUGCGAACGGGUGAGUAACGCGUAGGUAAUCUGCCUAUUGAGGGGGAUAACUAUUGGAAACGAUAGCUAAUACCGCAUAACAGUAUGUAACACAUGUUAGAUGCUUGAAAGAUGCAAUUGCAUCGCUAGUAGAUGGACCUGCGUUGUAUUAGCUAGUAGGUAGGGUAAAGGCCUACCUAGGCAACGAUACAUAGCCGACCUGAGAGGGUGAUCGGCCACACUGGGACUGAGACACGGCCCAGACUCCUACGGGAGGCAGCAGUAGGGAAUCUUCGGCAAUGGGGGGAACCCUGACCGAGCAACGCCGCGUGAGUGAAGAAGGUUUUCGGAUCGUAAAGCUCUGUUGUUAAGGAAGAACGAGUGUGAGAAUGGAAAGUUCAUACUGUGACGGUACUUAACCAGAAAGGGACGGCUAACUACGUGCCAGCAGCCGCGGUAAUACGUAGGUCCCGAGCGUUGUCCGGAUUUAUUGGGCGUAAAGCGAGCGCAGGCGGUUAGAAAAGUCUGAAGUGAAAGGCAGUGGCUCAACCAUUGUAGGCUUUGGAAACUGUUUAACUUGAGUGCAGAAGGGGAGAGUGGAAUUCCAUGUGUAGCGGUGAAAUGCGUAGAUAUAUGGAGGAACACCGGUGGCGAAAGCGGCUCUCUGGUCUGUAACUGACGCUGAGGCUCGAAAGCGUGGGGAGCGAACAGG
rnacentral:rRNA from 1 species